AGAACCAGCCCUUUUCUUACGCAGCUGGGAGCCUUGGGAGGACUACUCAGAUGAUAGGAACCAGUGGUUGAAAAAGAAAGAGAAACAAGAUGAAAGGAUUCGUGACUUUUCUGGGAAGUAUAAAAAGCUAUUUUGUGCCUCUUCUUUAUUUAGUUGCCAAUAGAUUGUUUUAUUUAUCUAUCUUGUUGUGUGAUAAAAUGCGAUAUGGGAGUAAUUGUUUUUCUUGUGUGUGCAUGCAUGUACGUAUUUCUAUUUUGAUGAAGUGCUGACCCUGCUGAUUCAGAAUACCUUUAAGUUUUACAAAGAUUUUGUUUUCUCCUGGCUUCCUCUUGCAUACACAAAGGCAGUAAUAGAGUGUCAUUUAAAUAAUAUGCCUUGGUUAGAACACAGCAAACUAGUUAAGAGAAACAUUUUAGAGGUUGACCUAAAAUACAUUAACUUUGAAAUAAAUAUACAUCUGGUAUAAAGAAUGAAUUUUACCAAAUAUGCAUAUCAGUUAUACCAACAGAUACCAUUUUGGGAAGAUACGUAUUCUGGUUUUAAAAAUAUUUUAGUUUGAGUUCAGUUGUAUUAUAGCUUACAUAAUACUAAUUAGAUGCUGGCUCAGAACUAUGUGUUAGUCAAAAAUUUUGGCUAGGUUCUCAUGAAAUAUCUGAAAGGCUAAAGAACAAUGUAAUUAUGCAUACAUUUAAAAUUUUGAAAGAAACAUCCCAUGUGCUACCUGACAGUGAAAUUGUCCCUGAUGAUAAGGAGAAAGGAUAAGAAGAUGCUGGGGACUGCCCGGUUCAGAGUGGACAUACUCAGGCCUAAUUCCUUAAAUAUUCAACUGAACUAGAUGAUGCUCUAUGAUCUAUAAGCUCUCUGUGCCUUGGUUUCUAAUAGAACAAAAUGUAGGGAGCAUCAAUCUCAUAAAUAUUUCUUUUCUUUCUUCUUUUUUUUUUAUAAACUGAAUGGAGAUUCCUGUGCAGUAGACUAUAUCAUAAAUGCUGGCAUUAGAAGAUUAGAAAAACUCCUGUCUUAUAAACUAUUUUAUAUUGGGUAUUUACUAUUUAUAGCUAACGGAUUUCUAAAUAUAUGAUUUGACCUGCUACAUUUAAACUAAGUAAUAAAAUACGUGUCAAAUAAUCCAAGUUAAUAUCCAAAGUCAUGACAUUAUCAAAGUUACAGUUUUUUCUUAAUCUGUCAAGAAUUUCAGUGCUAAAUUGACCUUAAUUUUUUAAAAAAAUAAUAUUUAGGUAACUUUCUGAUUACUCAAAAUAGUUCAGAACUGUAACUCAUGCUCCUGUGUGUGUGUGAUUUUUCUGCCUGUGCACUCUAUAACUGUGACUUGCUCAAGGGUGCUAAGAAGAGAGAAGCUGAUGUGGCUGAUGUUGGAAGGUGAUGAAUUCAUCCAUGGUAAAAGAAAUAUCCCUUAAGGCAGGGGUCUCCAACCCCUGGACCAUGGACAGAUCAGUGGCAGCAUCAGAUUCUCACAGGAGCAUGAACCCCACGGUGAACUCCACAUGCAAGGGAUGUAGUUGCGUGCUCCCUAUGAGAACCUAAUGCUUGAUGAUCCGAGGUAGAACAGUUUCAUCCCAAAACCAUUCCCCUGCCUCCGUAGAAAUAUUGUCUUCCACGAAACUAGGCCCUGGUGCCAAAAAGGUUGGGGCCUGCUGCCUUAGGGCAUGUCCUGUUACCAGCUUCCAGUUGCCCUUGAAGUGGUCUUCAUUAUCCUGGCUUUCUCUCCUCAGCCUCUUCUUCCUGCUGGACUUCCUACGGGCCUAUCCCUCACUGGCUCUGGGUCCUGGGCCUCUACCCAGGCCUGAGUCCAUGUGCUCAGAAAAGGUGUGGUUUCAUCCUUCUGGAGUACUGGUGUUCAUGUGACUGUCCUUUGAAAGAACAGGGCAAGAGUCAUCUGUUUUCUAUUAAACUUUAAUGACAUUUGAUACACACAAGACACUGAGAGAGGGGCAGAGAAAACUGGAUGUGCAGAUAAAAUGGAGACCAAAGUAGUACAUCAGGAGAGAUGUGAAGAUAUCCCAGGCUUCACAGGACAAAAGGGAUUUUAAUUUGAAGAAAGAGAGGAAGAGAGAAAAUGACAAAGGGAAGAGAACUAACGGGCGGGAAGGGUGAGAGACAAAAGGAAAAGAUAAGAGAGAAGCACAAAAGGUGGUGGCGUCUCACAGGUCAGAAGAAGCUGCGUGAUGGGAGCUGGUCUUGGACAAAGUGGCAGUGAUGAAGAUGGGAGAACAAAAAGAUGGAAAAGUUCCAGAUCAUUGAUGAUGUCAUUGAGCUAAUAAGUUAACCAUCCCUAGAGUCACUCUGCCUCAAAAUUUCUUGCUCUAUGAGAUAAUAAAAAAUCCUUGUUGCUUAGG
rnacentral:lncRNA from 10 species